rnacentral:lncRNA from 1 species
GGAAGUCUAGCUGUUAGGGGUGCGGUGGGGGCUGUCCGGAUUGUGAGCACAGGUAUGUGUGCCACACUUGAAAGUCUGGCAGAGAAAGCGUGAGGCUCGAGGGUGCUCCGUUCGUUCCCUCCUUCCACAGAAAGUCUGGAGAGCUGACCUUGGGACAAGUCCUUCCUUUCCUCUGGUCGGUGCGUUGUUCAGUGGUCUGGACACUUGGUGAGCAAGACUGACAGGGUGUUUGACGUACUGGGCCUCACAGCCUAGUUGGAAAGGACAGAUAGGCAGCGACUAGUUACCUAGGAGAUACGUAAAAACUAUUUCGUGUUGGGUGCUGAGAAAUACGGCAUUUACUGAUAGACUUUGUGGCUUAGGCAGUGAUGUUGAAGCUGAGAGCAGAUGCCUACAAGAAAAGGAGGACUUGUGCGGGAGAGCGUUGGGACGGGGCAAGGGAGGAGUAUGGCCUGUCAGAGGAGCUGAAAGAGUGCCCUGGAGCCUGGGGCCGCGUAGGGACUGUAGGGGGGGGAAAACAAAACUUUUCGGUUAAGGCUGGCGCUUUCUAUAGGUUUUUGGAGACCAAGCGUGGUGAUUCGGAGCGUGGACUCUGGAGCCAGACUCUGUCAGAUGGAGCCUCCUACACACCUAGGCCACAUGGGACUAAUCUUCUGGGACCCCCGUUGUUGACUGAAACGUCCCGAUGUAGGGCAUGACUGAACUGCCCAACUCCAA